GUUUUAAUAAGUUAAAUAAACUAUUGGUCUUGUAAAUCAAAAAUAAAUAAAAUUUAAUUUUUAAAACU
rnacentral:tRNA from 1 species